CCAGAGAAAUUUGGAUUAAUACCUCAUAGUAUAAUGAACUGGCAUCAGUUUAUUAUUAAAGUCACAACGGUAAAAGAUGAGCAUGCGUCCCAUUAGCUAGUUGGUAAGGUAACGGCUUACCAAGGCAACGAUGGGUAGGGGUCCUGAGAGGGAGAUCCCCCACACUGGUACUGAGACACGGACCACACUCCUACGGGAGGCAGCAGUGAGGAAUAUUGGUCAAUGGACGCAAGUCUGAACCACCCAUGCCGCGUGCAGGAUGAAGCAUCUAUGGUGUGUAAACUGCUUUUGUACGAGAAGAAACACUCCUUCGUGAAGGAGCUUGACGGUAUCGUAAGAAUAAGGACCGGAUAACUCCGUGCCAGCAGCCGCGGUAAUACGGAGGGUCCAAGCGUUAUCCGGAAUUUUUGGGUUUAAAGGGUCCGUAGGCGGGUUUAUAAGUCAGUGGUGAAAGCCCAUCGCUCAACGAUGGAACGGCCAUUGAUACUGUAGAUCUUGAAUUAUUAGGAAGUAACUAGAAUAUGUAGUGUAGCGGUGAAAUGCUUAGAGAUUACAUGGAAUACCGAUUGCGAAGGCAUGUUACUACUAAUGGAUUGACGCUGAUGGACGAAAGCGUGGGUAGC
rnacentral:rRNA from 1 species